rnacentral:rRNA from 1 species
CGGGUGAGUAACACGUGGAUAACCUACCUAUAAGACUGGGAUAACUUCGGGAAACCGGAGCUAAUACCGGAUAAUAUUUUGAACCGCAUGGUUCAAAAGUGAAAGACGGUCUUGCUGUCACUUAUAGAUGGAUCCGCGCUGCAUUAGCUAGUUGGUAAGGUAACGGCUUACCAAGGCAACGAUGCAUAGCCGACCUGAGAGGGUGAUCGGCCACACUGGAACUGAGACACGGUCAGACUCCUAGGGAGGCAGCAGC